GACGAACGCUGGCGGCGUGCUUAACACAUGCAAGUCGAACGGAGUGGCGAACGGGUGAGUAACACGUGGGUGAUCUGCCUUGCACUUCGGGAUAAGCUUGGGAAACUGGGUCUAAUACCGGAUAUUGCAAGAUGAGCUCGCGGCCUAUCAGCUUGUUGGGGGGGUAAUGGCCUACCAAGGCGUCGACGGGUAGCCGGCCUGUGAGGGGGUACGGACACAUGGGGACUGAGAUACGGCCCAGACGCGUACGUGGGGCAGCGGUGGGGAAUAUUGCACAAUGGGCGGAAGCCUGAUGCAGCGACGCCGCGUGGGGGAUGAAGGCCUUGGGGUGGUAAACGCCUUUCGACAGGGACGCGGUACCUGUAGAAGAAGCACCGGCUAACUACGUGCCAGCAGCCGCGGUAAUUC
rnacentral:rRNA from 1 species